UCAGGAUGAACGCUGGCGGCGUGCCUAACACAUGCAAGUCGAACGGAGUGUUGAGAGCUUGCUUUAACACUAGUGGCGGACGGGUGAGUAAUGCGUGAGCAACCUGCCUUUCAGAGGGGGACAACAGUUGGAAACGACUGCUAAUACCGCAUAAUGUAUUUUGAGGGCAUCCUCGGGAUACCAAAGGAGCAAUCCGCUGAAAGAUGGGCUCACGUCUGAUUAGCUAGUUGGUGGGGUAACGGCUCACCAAGGCUGCGAUCAGUAGCCGGACUGAGAGGUUGAACGGCCACAUUGGGACUGAGAUACGGCCCAGACUCCUACGGGAGGCAGCAGUGGGGAAUAUUGGGCAAUGGGCGAAAGCCUGACCCAGCAACGCCGCGUGAAGGAAGAAGGUCUUCGGAUUGUAAACUUCUUUUAUGAGGGACGAAGGACGUGACGGUACCUCAUGAAUAAGCCACGGCUAACUACGUGCCAGCAGCUGC
rnacentral:rRNA from 1 species